AUGGCUCAGGAUGAACGCUAGCGACAGGCUUAACACAUGCAAGUCGAGGGCAGCAUAGAAGUAGCAAUACUUGGUGGCGACCGGCGCACGGGUGAGUAACGCGUAUGCAACCUACCUAUCAGAGGGGAAUAACCCGGCGAAAGUCGGACUAAUACCGCAUAAAACAGGGGCACCGCAUGGUGAUAUUUGUUAAAGAAAUUCGCUGAUAGAUGGGCAUGCGUUCCAUUAGGUAGUUGGUGAGGUAACGGCUCACCAAGCCGACGAUGGAUAGGGGAACUGAGAGGUUGGUCCCCCACACUGGUACUGAGACACGGACCAGACUCCUACGGGAGGCAGCAGUGAGGAAUAUUGGUCAAUGGGCGGGAGCCUGAACCAGCCAAGUCGCGUGAAGGAAAGAAGGAUCUAUGGUUCGUAAACUUCUUUUGCAGGGGAAUAAAGUGCAGGACGUGUCCUGUUUUGUAUGUACCCUGAGAAUAAGGAUCGGCUAACUCCGUGCCAGCAGCUGC
rnacentral:rRNA from 1 species